rnacentral:rRNA from 1 species
CAAUAGCGUAUAUUAAAGUUGUUGCGGUUAAAAAGCUCGUAGUUGGAUUUCUGCCGAGGACGACCGGUCCGCCCUCUGGGUGUGUAUCUGGUUUGGCCUGGGCAUCUUCUUGGAGAACGUAGCUGCACUUGACUGUGUGGUGCGGUGUCCAGGACUUUUACUUUGAGGAAAUUAGAGUGUUUCAAGCAGGCACACGCCUUGAAUACAUUAGCAUGGAAUAACACGAUAGGACUCUGGCCUAUCUUGUUGGUCUGUAGGACCGGAGUAAUGAUUAAGAGGGACAGUCGGGGGCAUUCGUAUUUCAUUGUCAGAGGUGAAAUUCUUGGAUUUAUGAAAGACGAACUUCUGCGAAAGCAUUUGUCAAGGAUGUUUUCAUUAA